rnacentral:rRNA from 1 species
AGAGUUUGAUCCUGGCUCAGGAUGAACGCUAGCGGCAGGCUUAACACAUGCAAGUCGAAGGGCAUCGGGGAGAGUGCCUGCACUCUCUGCCGGCGACUGGCGCACGGGUGAGUAACACGUAUGCAACCUGCCCUCCACAGGGGGACAACCUUCCGAAAGGGAGGCUAAUCCCGCGUAUAUUCCCCGGGGGCAUCCCUGGGGGAGGAAAGGGUUACCGGUGGAGGAUGGGCAUGCGGCGCAUUAGGCAGUAGGCGGGGUAACGGCCCACCUAACCGACGAUGCGUAGGGGUUCUGAGAGGAAGGUCCCCCACACUGGUACUGAGACACGGACCAGACUCCUACGGGAGGCAGCAGUGAGGAAUAUUGGUCAAUGGGCGGGAGCCUGAACCAGCCAAGCCGCGUGAAGGAAGAAGGCGCCAGGCGUCGUAAACUUCUUUUGUCGGGGAACAAAGGGCGCCACGUGUGGCGUUGUGAGUGUACCCGAAGAAAAAGCAUCGGCUAACUCCGUGCCAGCAGCCGCGGUAAUACGGAGGAUGCGAGCGUUAUCCGGAUUUAUUGGGUUUAAAGGGUGCGUAGGCGGUCCGGAAAGUCAGCGGUAAAAGUCCGGGGCUCAACCCCGGCGAGCCGUUGAAACUGUCGGACUAGAGACGGCGAGAAGUACGCGGAAUGCGCGGUGUAGCGGUGAAAUGCAUAGAUAUCGCGCAGAACUCCGAUUGCGAAGGCAGCGUACCGGCGCCGGACUGACGCUGAGGCACGAAAGCGUGGGUAUCGAACAGGAUUAGAUACCCUGGUAGUCCACGCAGUAAACGAUGAA